rnacentral:misc_RNA from 1 species
GAUGAAGAACGUAGCGAAAUGCGAUACUUGGUGUGAAUUGCAGAAUCCCGUGAACCAUCGAGUCUUUGAACGCAAGUUGCGCCCGAAGCCAUUAGGCCGAGGGCACGCCUGCCUGGGCGUCACACGUCGUUGCUCCCCCAUCUACUCCUUCGGGAUUGCGGGGGGCGGAUGAUGGCCUCUCGUGCGCCUCGUCGCGCGGUUGGCCUAAAUGCCAAGUCCUCGGCGACGCACGCCACGACAAUCGGUGGUUGCGAAACCUCGGUUGCCUGUCGUGUGCGGUCGUCGCGCAUCGAGGGCUCGAAAAAAUUGCCGGGCUUCGGCUCGACUUUCAACGCGACCCCAGGUCAGGCGGGGUUACCCGCUGAAUUUAAGCAUAUCAAUAAGCGGAGGA